rnacentral:rRNA from 1 species
GAUGAACGCUGGCGGCGUGCCUAACACAUGCAAGUCGAGCGGAAGGGCGAGGAGCUUGCGCCUUGGCUGUUAGCGGCGGACGGGUGAGUAACGCGUGGAUAACCUCCCUAAAAGUCGGGGAAAAUUUCGGGAAAGGGUAGCAAAUCCGGGAUAAUAUUUUGAACCGCAGGGUUCAACGGUUAAAGACGGUGUUUGCGUCACUUUUAGAUGGUUAUGCGCUGGUUGAGCUAGUUGGGAAGGUAACAGCUUUCCAAGGCAAGGAUGCAUAGCCGACCUGAGAGGGUGAUCGCCCACCUUGGAGCGGAGACACGGUCCAGACUCCUAAGGUAGGCAGCAGUCGGGAAUCUUACGCAAUGGGCGAAAGCCUGACGGAGCAACGCCGCGUGAGUGGUGAAGGCGCUCCGAUCGGAAAACGCUGUUAUUAGUGAAGAACAUAUGUGUUUGUAACUGUGCAGAUCUUGACGGUACCUAAUCAAAAAGCACCGGCUAACUACGUG